UGUUUCUGAUUUCUAUUGAGCUCCUAUAUCAUAUGUGAUUAUUUACAGCUUUACAUACUCAGUACAUAUUUCGUACUGACGUCCCUCACGGGGGACCUGCAUUUCAUGCUGCAGGCACAGGUACCUCAACUCAUACACCGCACAAGUAGGAGCCAGGUCAUACAGCUAUUGUUGGUGAGCUCCAGUUUGCUUCGGAGCUUUCCGAGUCGGUUCCUUAUGUUUUGUUAUUGUACAUGAGUCACGUGUGGGCGGGGGUUUGUCCCGACCCUAGUUAUGUCAUGUAUAUCCUAGAGGCUUUGUAGACAUAAGGAAGGGUAAAGUCAUGGAAGUUUAUAUAGUAACGUUAUAUUUGUAUAUGUGGUGGCCCCGACGGCCAAGUAUUAUAUAUAUAUAUUUGUGCGUGUUGUGCUGAUACAGGUAAUUAGACCUUUCUAUAUGCAACGAAGUGCUGUCCAAUUUUUUUGGUGACAUGUAAGUGAAAGUACAGGUAUUUGAACGGGUUCUCCCGGGCCUUCUCGGCUUCGGGUGCCAGUCCGGCCCGAUGGGAUUUUGGGGCGUGACACAAGUGAUCAAAAAUCCACUAUGGUAUGAUGACACAUUUUUUAAAGACAAAACUCUCUUCUUAAAAGAUGAUAGUUUGUCAAUUGGAGGGGUUAGUGGUCCAAAAGAAGGGGGUGUAUGUUCUCCAAUGACCUAUUCAUUCUUGUGUGAACCCAUGCUUGAUCAAGGGCUUAAUGCUUGUAGAUCAAAGGGUGAUUCUAUAUGUGGGCACACCUUAAAUAAACUUUAUUUAAGUAACACCUUUCUAUACCACUUUUUUUGCAUAUGAUGAUACUCUUUCCUUUGAGUGGAGUAUGUUAUGUGAGAGUAGAGUGUCAAUGGGGCAAAUAGGUGUAUGAUUUUACCCAUGUUUAUGGAUUGCCUUUUCCUUUUGUCCUGGUAAUGAUUUGAAUAGUGGCGUUUGUGAUAAAAUACUUGGUUCAAAUGACAAGAAAGUUGUGGGUGAGGUUGUUGGCUUGCGUGGUGGUAAGUAUAGUAGUAACAUAUUUUUUCUCUCAUAUGAUUAUUGCUUGGUGUUAUUACUUGAUCUUAUAUGUUUAAUAAGAUAUAUUUGCCAAAUUAUGUAGAGAAUACCUUCGUAUUUAAUCUCCAAUGAUGAAUUAGGAGUAAUUCUAUUCUUUAAGAUAGUUAGUGCAUUGGAUAGAGUAUUGACUUGGAAUGACCUCAUUUAUGACAUGAAACAUAGUUAUAUGGGUUAUCAUGUGUUACAUGACUUAAAGGGAGAUUUUUUUUUCUAAAUUUAGAACCAUUGAGGACUUGUAUCAGUGGUUGCCUAAACACCAUGGUUCUUUUGAUUUGCCCCUUUGUCAAUGUUUCCUAUGUAGCCAAGUAUAUCAAUUUUUGUUGGGUGACAAACCAUUUAUGACUCAUUUUUUUGCUUGGUUAUAUGUUAAAUGUGUACACCCUUGGCAUGGCCAUAAAUUUGUUAUUGAUAAUCCUUGUGUUAAACCUCAUGCUACGAUGAUAUGUUUGUUGUUUUUCCUUCUCAUUUUUUAAAAAAGUUUGGAUUCGUGGAUGAAUUCUUUUGAUGAAGUGGAUCAUGAUUAGCUUGGAACAUAUUAGGAGGGUCUUCCAUGUAUGGAUGAUAUCUUGGAGUUUGAAGGAAGGCAUGAAGAAAUAGAUACAUAAGGUCAUUGGCAAUCAAGAUGCCAUUUGGCCAAUUAAGAAGGUCCCUUGUGAGUUAUUUGUAAAAUGGUCACAUUAGGGAGAUUUUUGUAAUAGACUUUUUCUGUAAAGGCACUGACUAUAAAUAGUUUCUUUAUCCAUUUUCAUCACUUAGAUUUGGAAAAGUGAAUUGUCUUGAAUAGAAUUGAUAUUUAGUUAUUCGAUAUUAGGGCAGUAAUUGGGUUCAAUUUCAAUUGUUAGCUUAGAUUGAGUGAUUAGGGUGUCUUUCUAAAUUGUUUGUGUUAUCUUCUUCACUUGAUUUAUCAUUAAGUUAUCAUAUUAUGGAUUCAAUCUGGUUUCUCGUCCAUUUGAUUAAGUUCUCUAUUUUUCUUAGCUUAAUUAUUAUUUGAUUAAGUCUUUCUUUCAGCACUUCUAUAAUACCCCAUAUUAUUAUUAGGUCAGUUCAUCUUCUAGUUGUAUGCAUAAGGGGCUUAAGGCCUAAAAAUUUCACUAAGUGUUGGGGAAUUAGUCAUUUAUAAGUCCUCUUAACUUCGAGGAUUUUUCGAUUGGUCUUCCCGAUCCUAAGGUGUUGGUUUUUGAGUUAAUUCAUAUUCAGGGAUGUAAGGAGCAUGUCUUAGAGAAGUUUCAAAUUUUUUGAAUGAGGUUUCGGUCAUGUUUGGAUCACAAAUCCAGAAAGUCACUGCGAUACGGCUGCGUCGCUUUAAUAUUUCCAUUUGCAUGCUCACUGCGUUGCGGUAAGGGAAAUGGAUGACUUCAAUUAGACCGCGUUGCGGUAAGUAUGUUAUGCCCAGUUAUGAAUUUAAUUGCCUGAGGGGAAAUUGUGUCUGUUCCCCUCAACCCAAAUCAUGCAUAACACGAAUUGAGACAUCAUUUAGAGCAUUAUUUGCCCUUCUUCUCUAAAUCCAUCUCAAGAAAACCCUUCCCACUUUCUCAAAAUCACCAAUUUCAAUUUUUUUCUCCCUAAAAAACCAAGGAACUCAAGCUUCAAAUUCAAGAAACCCUCAAGAAAUCUUCAAGAAAUCAUCUAUUAAGGUAUGUGGAUGUUCAUUCAUGGGUUUCUUUCUUUGGUAUUGAUGUAAUACCAGGCACCCAACCAAUCUCCAUUCCUCCGUAUAGAAUGGCCCCAGCAGAAUUACGAGAAUUGAAAGAGCAAUUGAAAGAUUUGCUAGAAAAGGGGUUCAUUAGGCCUAGUAUUUCCCCUUGGGGAGCACCAGUGUUAUUUGUACGCAAAAAGGAUGGCUCGCUGAGGAUGUGUAUUGAUUAUCGGCAAUUGAAUAAGGUGACUAUUAAGAAUAAAUAUCCUCUCCCAAGAAUUGAUGAUUUAUUUGAUCAGUUACAGGGCGCCAAGUGCUUUUCUAAGAUUGAUUUGAGGUCAGGUUACCACCAAGUGAGGGUCAAAGAAAAAGAUAUACCCAAAACAGCUUUCCGAACAAGGUAUGGUCAUUAUGAGUUUCUAGUUAUGUCAUUUGGGCUAACAAAUGCACCCGCAGCUUUUAUGGAUUUGAUGAAUAGGGUUUUUAAGCCAUUCCUGGAUGUAUUUGUGAUAGUUUUUAUAGAUGAUAUUCUAGUUUAUUCUAGAUCAGAAGAGGACCAUGCCAAUCACUUACGACAGGCAUUGCAGACUCUUCGUGAUUGUAAGCUUUAUGCAAAGUUCUCUAAAUGUGAGUUUUGGUUAAAGUCGGUGGCAUUUUUGGGUCAUAUUGUAUCUAGUGAAGGGAUAAAGGUUGAUGCUCAAAAGAUAGAGGCUGUGAAGAACUGGCCAAGGCCCACAACGCCUACGGAGAUUCGUAGUUUUCUUGGGUUGGCCGGUUAUUAUAGAAGGUUUGUCAAAGACUUUUCUUCCAUUUCAGCACCCUUAACCAAGCUAACCCAUAAAGCAUCCAAAUUCCAAUGGAAUGAUGCCUGUGAGAAGAGUUUUCAAGAUUUAAAGAACAAGUUGAUUUCUACACCCGUGUUGGUACUACCAGAAGGCACCGAAGGGUAUACAGUGUAUUGUGAUGCUUCCAGAAUUGGUUUAGGAUGUGUAUUGAUGCAGCAUGGUAAGGUAAUAGCAUAUGCUUCUAGACAAUUACGGCCACAUGAGAAAAAUUAUCCUACACACGAUCUUGAGCUGGCAGCGGUUAUUUUUGCUUUAAAGAUAUGGCGCCACUACUUAUAUGGGGUUCACGUUGAUAUAUAUACUGACCAUAAGAGCUUGCAAUAUAUUUUUAAUCAGAAGGAUCUAAAUUUAAGGCAGCGGAGAUGGCUUGAACUAUUAAAGGACUAUGAUGUUGAUAUCUUGUACCAUCCAGGGAAAGCAAAUGUGGUAGCUGAUGCGUUAAGUCGUAAGGCUAUGAUGGCGCCUAUAGAAAGGCAAGGGAUGGUUAAAGAUCUUCACCAGUUAGCUAGUUUGGGAGUUCGCCUUCUUGAAACUCCGAAUAAAGAGCUUAUCGUACAUAAUGCUGCGGAAUCUUCAUUAGUAGCUGAAGUGAAAGAGAAGCAAUAUGCAGAUCCUAUUUUAUUACAUCUUAAGGAGAACGUUCAGAGUGGUGCGACCAAGGCAUUUGAGCUUACGCGAGAAGGAGUACUUCAGUGCCAAAACCGAUUGUGUGUGCCGGAUAUAGACGGGCUAAGAAAGAAGAUUAUGACAGAGGCACAUUUUUCAAGGUAUUCCAUUCAUCCAGGAUCAACCAAAAUGUAUCAAGAUUUGAAAGAUAUGUAUUGGUGGAAUGACAUGAAGAAGAGCAUUGCAGAAUUUGUAGCUGAAUGUCCAAAUUGUCAAAGAGUUAAAGUUGAGCACCAAAAACCCGGAGGCUAUAUGCAAUGCAUAGAUCUUCCAAUUUGGAAGUGGGACAUGAUCAACAUGGAUUUUGUUACAGGUUUGCCUCGUACAGCUCGAAAAUUUGAUUCUAUAUGGGUGAUUGUGGAUAGGCUUACUAAAUCCGCACAUUUCUUACCCGUUAAGACCACUUACACAGUUGAAGAAUAUUCGAAGCUGUAUGUUAAAGAAAUAGUCCGAUUACAUGGAGUGCCAACUUCUAUUAUAUCGGAUCGGGGAACUCAAUUUACUGCAAACUUUUGGAAGUCUUUCCAACGGGGUUUGGGAACACAAGUGAAUCUGAGUACAGCUUUUCACCCUCAGACGGAUGGACAAGCAGAGCGCACCAUUCAAACACUUGAAGAUAUGCUACGAGCAUGUGUUAUAGAUUUUAAAGGCAGCUGGGAUGAUCAUUUACCUCUUAUUGAGUUUGCCUACAAUAAUAGCUAUCAUUCAAGUAUCAAAAUGGCACCAUAUGAAGCUUUAUAUGGGAGAAAGUGUAGAUCACCAAUAGGAUGGUUCGAAGCGGGUGAAACUCUUAUGUUCGGACCGGAUCUUGUGUAUCAAGCCAUAGAAAAAGUCAAGGUGAUACAACAACGGCUAAAAACAGCCCAAAGUCGUCAUAAAUCAUAUGCAGAUAUUCGGAGAAGAGGGCUGGAAUUCUCUAUUGGAGAUUGGGUAUUUUUAAAGGUAUCACCAAUGAAAGGGGUUAUGAGAUUUGGUAAAAAAGGGAAACUAAGCCCACGUUACAUAGGGCCAUAUAAGAUUACCAAGAGGGUCGGACAAGUUGCAUAUGAAUUAGAGCUACCCCAGGAACUUUCAAUGGUUCAUCCAGUGUUUCAUGUGUCAAUGCUUCGAAAAUGCAUAGGUGACCCCUCUCGUAUCACUCCUAUAGAAGAUGUACAGGUCACAGAGGAUCUUACUUAUGAAGAGGUACCGGUUGCUAUUCUAGAUCGCCAAGUUAAAAAGUUAAGGAACAAAGAAAUGGCAUCAGUAAAGGUACUUUGGAGAAAUCAACAAAGGGAAGAGAUUACAUGGGAAGCUGAGGAAGCAAUGAAAUCUAAGUACCCUCAUUUGUUCAAAGAUGAAGAGGAAGUUCAAGAAACGGAGUUAGAACAUUAACAAGUAAGUUUUUGUUUAUAUAUGCAUAGUAUUUAUGUGAUGAUGUGAAUGUUAAUGGUGGACUUGAACUUGUUUCGGCUAAAUAACUACAUUCACAUUCGAGGACGAAUGUCCUUAAGGGGGGAAGGAUGUAACACCCCGUACUUAAUUACGUGCAUUAGUCAUUGUUAUAUGUGUUGGGGUAUAUGUAUUGAUCCUAAGUUAGGUAUAUAUGAGUUUAAGUAUGAGUAUUGAUUAUUUUGAGAUGGUUUCAAGUGUAUAGUUUGAUUAUAGGUGUAUAGGAAUCGACUUUAUUUAUAUCGGAAUUUUCCCGUCGAUGGUUCCAUACGAAGGUUAUUGAAUAAGCUUUCCAACGAUAUAAAGAUUUCCAAAAACGGAUAAGUUUCGGAUAUAAGCGAGCUCGUUCGAAACUUUAAAACGGUGGCCGGGAUGUGAACAGUAAAAUGUGCAGGAAACUACUGAGGCCUGCCAGUUUUUUGGGUCAACUUUGAACGAUCAUAACUCCCUCAAUAUAAUGAACUGGUUGAGCUACCAUAUAUCAAAAGAAAGAUCUUUGAGUCUUCUUUCCAAUGAAAUUGGUUUCAUCCAAAUCCAACAUCUGAGUAAGGAGUUAUACUCGUUUUACUUCAGCCUCUCAAAACAGAUUUUUAGGGUCAACUUCAAACGAUCAUAACUACUUGUACAGGACGAACUGGGUGGAUUAAUUUAUAUUAAAUGAAAUACCUUUGAAUUAUCUUUCUAACGAUACCAAUUUCACCCAAAUCCGAUAUCGGAGCAAAGAGUUAUGGCCGAUUUACUUUAGCCUAUCAAAACAGUCCACCAUGGACAGAUUCGGAUUUACUUAAAUUUUUAAGGGCAAUAUGGUCAUUUUCCAUCACCUCAUGGACGAAAAUUGGUCAUUAUAUACAUAUACUUAGCCUUAUAUCCACCAUUUAUCAUCCAAAUCAUUGAAGAAUAAGAAACCCUAGCCUAAGUUCAACUCCAAUUAUCUUGUGAUUCAACCGUAGAAAAUCCAAAUUGAUUCCGUAGUUGUGUUCACCGUCUCAAGGGCUUCGAGAAGCACCCCUUAUUUGUGCCAACAGGACUUCGAAAUCAAAAGGGCCAUUUUUUUGGUAAGGAUGUAAAUUAUGUUGGUGUUAUUUAUAUGGAUAUGUAUAUAUAUAUAUGCAUGUGAGCAUAAGAAGUAUGUUAUUUGAUUGUUGUUGAAAGAUGAUUGGAAAUGAUGUUGGAUUAUUCUUGUGCAUGGUUGGAUUAUGUUAAAUUGUGAAGGAAUUUGGGGUGAUGAUGUAGUAUUGAUGAUGUGGUAUUGAAAUGAUGAUUAUAUAUAUAUACACACAUAAACCUAUUGUUCAAGUUGGUUUUUGGAAUGUUUUGCAAAUAUUGGUAGUAUGGAAUUAUGGAAGAGAAUUGUGGUGUUGGGUUGCUAAUACUAGAUGCCAAACAUUUCAUUGUAGAUAAGUGAUUUGUAAAGGCGGGAAGUUGUGUUGAAUUGGUAUCCGAAUCUACAACGAGGUAUGUAAAGCAUACUCUAACAAUGUUCUUUGGCAUGAAAACACCAAUGUUCCAUCAAGUAAGAUUCCGAGGUUGUCCAAAAACAUGUAUUGUUCUACGUUACCAACGAAGUUGUUUCCAUCCUAUAAAGUGUCAAAAUGUUUCAUUGAUAUACCAAAAGGCUCCUAUUUCAUUGUUGUGAUAUUGAUGAUUCUGAAACACAUUGUUGAUGUACCAAUGAGUCUUUAUUACAUCGUUAUUGUAUAGAAGGUCUAUUACUUGGUUCCUAUUGAUGUAUCAUUGUUUCAAAGUAUCAAAAAUGUGGUGGCGACCGAAAUAACAAUCUCAAAGAUUAAUUGAACUAAGUGAUGGAAGUUCUCUCUUAUCGGGUGGUAUCCCAGGGGCAUAAGCCUAGCAUGGGUCGAUCCCUAUUUAUGUGUUUAUGGGUGGUAUCCCAGGGGCAUAAGCCUAGCAUGGGUCGAUCCCAGUUGAUAUGUACUGGAGGCAGCCUAAUGGUCACAGUACAGUACAGUAAUGAUUACAAAGACGAUAAGAACGAAGGUAAAGUGAUUGAAUAAAUACAAUGUACAGGUUGUCACAAGUUCUAAUAAGUGUGGUCCACUCCUAUUACGAUUUAUUCACUUGUUUCUGAUUUCUAUUGAGCUCCUAUAUCAUAUGUGAUUAUUUACAGCUUUACAUACUCAGUACAUAUUUCGUACUGACGUCCCUCACGGGGGACCUGCAUUUCAUGCUGCAGGCACAGGUACCUCAACUCAUACACCGCACAAGUAGGAGCCAGGUCAUACAGCUAUUGUUGGUGAGCUCCAGUUUGCUUCGGAGCUUUCCGAGUCGGUUCCUUAUAUUUUGUUAUUGUACAUGAGUCAUGUGUGGGCGGGGGUUUGUCCCGACCCUAGUUAUGUCAUGUAUAUCCUAGAGGCUUUGUAGACAUAAGGAAGGAUAAAGUCAUGGAAGUUUAUAUAGUAACGUUAUAUUUGUAUAUGUGGUGGCCCCGACGGCCAAGUAUUAUAUAUAUAUAU
rnacentral:lncRNA from 1 species